ACAGAUGUGGGUAGGAAAGCUAAUGGAGAAAGGCAGAUGUAGAAUAAAAAUUUUACUAGUGGUACACUAAGUAGAGCAGCACUUGACAUAAACAUAUACUAUGCACUAGCAUGGAUCUCUCUGGCAAUGUUUGUGAUUUCAGGACUUUGCAUUUGGAACUCAUCUACAAUCACAAGGUGGAAUUAUAUUUUGCAUAUCUUACAGCACUGUCAUGAAUAGCAGCAAGCUGUGUGUGAUUGCUAGCUUAGAGUGGGUUAUUUCUGCACUGCACCAAUCUACCUGGAAUUUGAUACAGCAGUUACUGGUGAUGUCUUUCCCAUUGGCAGCAAAGGUUCAUUGUUGCUCCAGCCACCUUCAAUCACAGCAUCACAAGUUCAGGCUUCAGGAAUAUUAAAGGAUUCUCACAAAAGAAGACUUUGAUGAAUUCAGUGAUGCAUUAAGGACAGGUUGAUGCCGUGCUCAGAAAAUGAUCUUUAGCUCUGCAGCUGAGAAGUGAUGAAAAGGAACAAUCAAGCCCUCUUCAUGAUGCUUUGUCCUUGCAACACCACUGUAUUUCAGGUCCCUCACCCUCGUGGCUUGGCCAAAGGCACAAACAAUGCAAAGAUAACAAAGGAUGAUGCCCAUUGGUCUAGAAGAAUCUUUGGCUCCUUCAGGCACAUAAAAGGCGACAGAUAUUCAAGGAACUGACUUCAUUGCAAUGGUAGGAGCAGCACAUUUUUCCCCGUGUUUUUCACAGUACAGAAACUGGUGAUUGCUUGGGCAUUUAGCUUCAGCCAAAGGCUAAAUGACCCCUUCUGCUUCUUGUCAAUGGGGUGAAAUAACCCCAAUUUGUUUUAUAGUAGAAAUCGCCUUGAGAUUAUUUAAUGAAGGUGUUAUUAUCAUUAUUAUGAAGUGAAUGGGGAAGGUGUUUGGAUAAUUGGCAGAAGAGAAAAUGAGAACAGCGAACAGUUACAACUCUGAGGCCCCUUGGCAACAGACACCUUCUUAAGUGUAUCUGAAACAGGCAGCUCCCUUGAUCAGUACAGACCUUUCUGCUGGAGAGGCAGCUUCCUCUAGAAGUGUGCUUGUGAAUUUAAAUACACAGGAACUGAGAAACAGAAAUAACAAUUUUCUUGAUUUCUACCCCUCCCGCUAACUAAAUACACAUUUACUGCUAAUUAACUUAGAGGUAUGGAACACAUUACCUGGCACAAAUUCAUCUCCUACUAUUUGUUAGGCUGAGUGAAAAAGAAAUAACUUUUCCUGUUUGCUUUAUCAUGUCCUUGUUUUGUGCCUUGCUGUAUUGUAUUUUUUUUCUUUUUUUUCCCCCCUCCAACAUUUUUGUUUUAAAACCAGUAGGUUUUAGAGCAAGAAAAACAUGUUCAGAAUCUUACAAGGAGAGAAUAUCUUUCUUCCAAUCCAUCCAAACACAGGAAUGAAAGACAGAUCAAAAGACAGACAACAUCUUUUAGGGUAAAUGCUUAAAGACGUCUCUGGUCCUAUCUCUGUAUGUACACCUCCACACUCAGAAAGUGGAAAUGCUCUAGGCAGAUGGGAGAC
rnacentral:lncRNA from 7 species